rnacentral:rRNA from 1 species
UGAGCCGUGGCUUUCGGAGCUAACGCCUUAAGUAGACCGCCUGGGGAGUACGGUCGCAAGAUUAAAACUCAAAUGAAUUGACGGGGGCCCGCACAAGCGGUGGAGCAUGUGGUUUAAUUCGAUGCAACGCGAAGAACCUUACCUACUCUUGACAUCCAGAGAAGCCAGUAGAGAUACAGGUGUGCCUUCGGGAACUCUGAGACAGGUGCUGCAUGGCUGUCGUCAGCUCGUGUUGUGAAAUGUUGGGUUAAGUCCCGCAACGAGCGCAACCCUUAUCCUUGUUUGCCAGCGAGUAAUGUCGGGAACUCCAGGGAGACUGCCGGUGAUAAACCGGAGGAAGGUGGGGACGACGUCAAGUCAUCAUGGCCCUUACGAGUAGGGCUACACACGUGCUACAAUGGCGCAUACAGAGGGCAGCCAACUUGCGAAAGUGAGCGAAUCCCAAAAAGUGCGUCGUAGUCCGGAUUGGAGUCUGCAACUCGACUCCAUGAAGUCGGAAUCGCUAGUAAUCGUGGAUCAGAAUGCCACGGUGAAUACGUUCCCGGGCCUUGUACACACCGCCCGUCACACCAUGGGAGUGGGCUGCAAAAGAAGUAGGUAG